rnacentral:lncRNA from 1 species
CUGUAGUUCAGUUCAGUUUACAAUCAACAGAGACAGAGUUUGGUUUUCUGUCUCCAGCCAUGUGUUUUCAUCCCAAUUAAGGGCAGAGAUUGUGUUCCGAGUUCGCCCUCAUCAUAAAGCUGUGGUUUUGUUAAACAUCACAGGAAUGAGAAUGGCACGGGGAAGCAGGACGUUCCGGAUGCGGCUUCUGGAAGACAAGCUAUGCAAGGCCUCCUGGUGAUGGCAUUGGCUGAGCAUUGGCUGAGCAAGGCAGAGCAGUUCUCAGCUGGUGUUUGACAAGAACAACCUGUAGAGGGCGUCCUUACACCAAGAGCCAUGGAGGUCUGAGCAAUACUACAGAAGAAAAACCUUCAACGAAAACCACAUUCCAAGUCAAAAAGAGUCUAUUGUGUUGCGAAAUUAUUACCUGUAACUGAAUGACACUGUUUUUACAAUAUUAAAGGGUUAUAAGUUUGCCUAAUAUAGUAAAACAUUAUACAAAUUAAUAUUCACUGCAACAAUUAAUUAAUAAAAU